AGUGAACGCUGGCGGUAGGCCUAACACAUGCAAGUCGAACGGCAGCACAGUAAGAGCUUGCUCUUACUGUUGGCGAGUGGCGGACGGGUGAGGAAUACAUCGGAAUCUACUUUUUCGUGGGGGAUAACGUAGGGAAACUUACGCUAAUACCUCAUACGACCUACGGGUGAAAGCAGGUGAUCUUCAGACCUUGCGCGAUUGAAUGAGCCGAUGUCGGAAGAGCUAGUUGGCGGGGUAAAGGCCCACCAAGGCGACGAUCCGUAGCUGGUCUGAGAGGAUGAUCAGCCACACUGGAAGUGAGACACGGUCCAGACUCCUACGGGAGGCAGCAGUGGGGAAUAUUGGACAAUGGGCGCAAGCCUGAUCAAGCCAUACCGCGUGGGUGAAGAAGGACUUAGGGUUGUAAAACCCUUUUGUUGGGAAAGAAAAGCAGCAGGUUAAUACCCCGCUGUUCUGACGGUACCCAAAGAAUAAGCAACGGCUAACUUCGUG
rnacentral:rRNA from 1 species